rnacentral:rRNA from 1 species
AGCAGCCGCGGUAAUUCCAGCUCCAAUAGCGUAUAUUAAAGUUGUUGCAGUUAAAAAGCUCGUAGUUGAAUUUUGGAUUCUACCAAUUGGUCCAUCUUUUAGAUGAGUCCUGGUUGUGUGGGGUCUAUCCGCCAGGUGAUACGUAAUGUCCCUUAUUGGAUGUUGCGGGUAGUCAGGACCUUUACCUUGAAAAAAUUAGAGUGUUUAAAGCAGGCUUAUGCCGGAAUACAUUAGCAUGGAAUAAUAGAAUAGGACGAAGUUGUUUUAUUUUGUUGGUUUCUAGGACAACCGUAAUGAUUAAUAGGGAUAGUUGGGGGCAUUAGUAUUCAAUUGUCAGAGGUGAAAUUCUUGGAUUUAUUGAAGACUAACUACUGCGAAAGCAUUUGCCAAGGAUGUUUUCAUUAAUCAAGAACGAAAGUUAGGGGAUCGAAGACGAUCAGAUACCGUCGUAGUCUUAACCGUAAACUAUGCCGACUAGGGAUCGGGCGAUGUUUCUAUCUUGACUCGCUCGGCACCUUAC